UUGCCUUCGUUUGGUUUCUUACACCGUAAACGUUUUCUGAUGCAAGACGUAAUGAAUCCACUUCUAGCUCAGUGCCAUCAAUAUCAGUCAACGGUGGAUUUAUCGGUCAGAUCAAGUCAUAAAAACAUUCAGUAGGCUUUAAAUACAAACGGGCACCUCUGUCGAUACUUACUCACACGACAUAGCCUGCGGCAAUGUCCGACUCAAUGAUUUACAGUCGAUGCAAAUGACUUAGCCAGUUAAAACAAAUGCAAAAUAACUCCGAUAUCGAUGUUAACAAUUUAGCUAAAAAUAAUCCAAAAUAAGCCAUCGAUUUGAUGUCUCAUGAUUGACCGGUCACGCGAUAACGAAAGUACAUCCCCAUUGAAUUCGGUUCUGUGGCCCACUUCAAAAGGUGAGGAGGCCCUUUCCUGUCAGGCUCAGCAGGAGGUUGCAUACUAAUGCUCUACCUGCCUGUUAGAAGUGCAGACAGCUGACCUGAGAACAGAAGGUAGAGAACACAUGUCACGCCAUAGGUAUCAAAGUCCACUGGCCCAGCACUUCAGCAAGCCUCACAUCAUGACGGGGAGCAGGCUGCACAUGAGAAAACCAGCAAACCAGAUCGUUGUGAUCAGUGUGUCUCCUCAUCAAACAAAAUCCUCUCAAAUCUGCACAGGCAGACCUCCGCCCCGUGUCAUCGGAGGCCAGCCGGCUUAUACUGUCCAUCGGAUACUGGGUGCAGCGGUCCUGGCAGUAUCUGGUGGACUGGGAAGGCUACAGUCCCGAGGAGCGCUCCUAGGUUCCUGCCAAAGACAUACUGGACCCUGACCUCAUUCGACAGUUCAGGGCCCUCCACCCCGAGAAAGCUGGUAGGAACGUCAGGAGCCGUUCCUAGGGGGGGGAUUCUGUUAGGAUUUGGCUAGGAUUGUUCCGGUUUUGGCCACUAGAUGCCCCCAUUGUGCUUUUUUGACCCUUUUGUUUUCUCCUGUUUCCAGAUUAUUAUUUGCACCUGUGCCUCGUUUCCCUUGAAUGUAUUUAAACCCUUAGUUUCACUCAGUUCUUUGCUCUGUGUUUGAAUGUUAGCACCCAGCCCCAGCGAUGCGGUGAACAUUUGUUACUCCAGUUGGACUCUCUUGUGGUACUCUGUUUUUGUUCUCGUUUAUUUAUUUUUGAUUAUCUUUUGAGGCGUUUUCCCUGUUGUACCUACCACCUUGUGGAUUUACCUUUUCACUUGGAGGAUAACCUUUUUUUUACCUUUCUCUUGGAAUUACUUUUGAUGUUGUGGAUUUAUAUUUUUGCCUGAAGUACUUUCCUUUUUACUUUAUUAAAACACCGUCUCAAGUACUGCUUCUGGGUUAUGCCGACUAUUAGUUGCUCAGUUUGCUAAGUGACUGUUUCUCACACCGGAGACCUGACUCCAUAAUAGUUCGUAACCGGGUCCUGACAAAAUAAUAAAAAUACGAAAACGGUUAUUUUGUUUGUGCUUGAUCUUGUGUAUUCUGAACUAUGUAACUCCUAUUUUCUGAUCAUUUCCUCACAAUCUCCCAGAUGUCUUCUUUCCAAAUAUACCAAGUUUUUGCAUAUCAGAAUCCUGUAAUUACACAUGAAUAGCAGUUAUUUUGGGGUAUGGUCUAUUUAGGCGGAAAUCUAGAUUUUGUCGUUACAUUUUCGAGUUUACACCAUGCCCGUGAGUGUGCCAUUCCCUCAGAACCCUCUAUCCCACAGACAAUUCAAUCACAUAUUUGACUGCCCUGAGGACACCAUCACCCUUAAUAGGUCAUUAUCCUUGCCUCAAUUACAAGGGAGUAAUCAGCAAUCUGCUCCUAA